rnacentral:misc_RNA from 1 species
AUCAUGCAUGAUAUGAGGUGGUAAAACUAAAAGAGGUUUAAAAAGCCCCUGACUCAUUAUUAUGAAAGAGAAAGACCCAAGGAGCUUCUUUAUGAAUCGGACACUUUGGUUAUGUUAUGUAUUUAAAAGGAAGUCCCGAGGAGCAUCUAUACGAGCCUAGCAAAUUAGUUAUGGGAAAUCACUAGUGAAAAGUCCAUCUUAUGUGAAUUAUUUAUGAUGUGAAAAACUUAUGUAACUGAUGCAUUGCAUACGUAUAAGGUGAUUAAUAUAAUAAAUAUAAUGGUUGGUUUACUCACUAAGCUUUUUAAAGCUUACCCUUUCUCCUAACCCCCAGGUGCAGAGUUCCAGAACUAGAGCUGUCUUUUGGAAGAACUAUCAGGAGGAAGAGGUUUAGCAAGCUUUUAUGUACGAUUAAGUUUUAGAAUGGACAUGCAAUUGAUAAAAUAUUAG